rnacentral:rRNA from 2 species
CGCUGGCGGCGUGCCUAAUACAUGCAAGUCGAACGAGUUCUCGUUGAUGAUCGGUGCUUGCACCGAGAUUCAACAUGGAACGAGUGGCGGACGGGUGAGUAACACGUGGGUAACCUGCCCUUAAGUGGGGGAUAACAUUUGGAAACAGAUGCUAAUACCGCAUAGAUCCAAGAACCGCAUGGUUCUUGGCUGAAAGAUGGCGUAAGCUAUCGCUUUUGGAUGGACCCGCGGCGUAUUAGCUAGUUGGUGAGGUAAUGGCUCACCAAGGCGAUGAUACGUAGCCGAACUGAGAGGUUGAUCGGCCACAUUGGGACUGAGACACGGCCCAAACUCCUACGGGAGGCAGCAGUAGGGAAUCUUCCACAAUGGACGCAAGUCUGAUGGAGCAACGCCGCGUGAGUGAAGAAGGCUUUCGGGUCGUAAAACUCUGUUGUUGGAGAAGAAUGGUCGGCAGAGUAACUGUUGUCGGCGUGACGGUAUCCAACCAGAAAGCCACGGCUAACUACGUGCCAGCAGCCGCGGUAAUACGUAGGUGGCAAGCGUUAUCCGGAUUUAUUGGGCGUAAAGCGAGCGCAGGCGGUUUUUUAAGUCUGAUGUGAAAGCCCUCGGCUUAACCGAGGAAGCGCAUCGGAAACUGGGAAACUUGAGUGCAGAAGAGGACAGUGGAACUCCAUGUGUAGCGGUGAAAUGCGUAGAUAUAUGGAAGAACACCAGUGGCGAAGGCGGCUGUCUGGUCUGUAACUGACGCUGAGGCUCGAAAGCAUGGGUAGCGAACAGGAUUAGAUACCCUGGUAGUCCAUGCCGUAAACGAUGAAUGCUAGGUGUUGGAGGGUUUCCGCCCUUCAGUGCCGCAGCUAACGCAUUAAGCAUUCCGCCUGGGGAGUACGACCGCAAGGUUGAAACUCAAAGGAAUUGACGGGGGCCCGCACAAGCGGUGGAGCAUGUGGUUUAAUUCGAAGCAACGCGAAGAACCUUACCAGGUCUUGACAUCUUUUGAUCACCUGAGAGAUCAGGUUUCCCCUUCGGGGGCAAAAUGACAGGUGGUGCAUGGUUGUCGUCAGCUCGUGUCGUGAGAUGUUGGGUUAAGUCCCGCAACGAGCGCAACCCUUAUGACUAGUUGCCAGCAUUUAGUUGGGCACUCUAGUAAGACUGCCGGUGACAAACCGGAGGAAGGUGGGGAUGACGUCAAAUCAUCAUGCCCCUUAUGACCUGGGCUACACACGUGCUACAAUGGAUGGUACAACGAGUUGCGAGACCGCGAGGUCAAGCUAAUCUCUUAAAGCCAUUCUCAGUUCGGACUGUAGGCUGCAACUCGCCUACACGAAGUCGGAAUCGCUAGUAAUCGCGGAUCAGCACGCCGCGGUGAAUACGUUCCCGGGCCUUGUACACACCGCCCGUCACACCAUGAGAGUUUGUAACACCCGAAGCCGGUGGCGUAACCCUUUUAGGGAGCGAGCCGUCUAAGGUGGGACAAAUGAUUUAGGGU